rnacentral:tRNA from 1 species
ACAUUGAAAGGUUUGCUUUUGCUUUUCUUUUGGGGCAACCCACAUCUUCUUUUCCUUCCUUUUUUAUUGGGCUUGUAGCUCAGUCGGUUAGAGCACUUCUCUGAUAAGGAAGGGGUCGUUAGUUCAACUCUAACCAGGCCCAGCCAUAGCAAGCAUCUUGGGAAGCCAGGUGCUAAGCGAAGAUUUUUGACAACACAAUUAGGGAAGGAAGAUGAAAUAAGCUUUGGAAUAAAGUUUUAUUUCAUAUUUCAUAAAGCUUUAGCUAAAGCUUUAUGCACGUACGAAAAUAAAUUUUCGUAACGGAAUAAUAAUAU